UGGGGAAUUUUGGACAAUGGGGGAAACCCUGAUCCAGCCAUCCCGCGUGUGCGAUGAAGGCCUUCGGGUUGUAAAGCACUUUUGGCAGGAAAGAAACGUCGCGGGUUAAUACCCCGCGAAACUGACGGUACCUGCAGAAUAAGCACCGGCUAACUACGUGCCAGCAGCCGCGGUAAUACGUAGGGUGCAAGCGUUAAUCGGAAUUACUGGGCGUAAAGCGUGCGCAGGCGGUUCGGAAAGAAAGAUGUGAAAUCCCAGAGCUUAACUUUGGAACUGCAUUUUUAACUACCGGGCUAGAGUGUGUCAGAGGGAGGUGGAAUUCCGCGUGUAGCAGUGAAAUGCGUAGAUAUGCGGAGGAAUACCGAUGGCGAAGGCAGCCUCCUGGGAUAACACUGACGCUCAUGCACGAAAGCGUGGGGAGCAAACAGGAUUAGAUACCCUGGUAGUCCACGCCCUAAACGAUGUCAACUAGCUGUUGGGGCCUUCGGGCCUUGGUAGCGCAGCUAACGCGUGAAGUUGACCGCCUGGGGAGUACGGUCGCAAGAUUAAAACUCAAAGGAAUUGACGGGGUCAUAGCUGUUUCCUG
rnacentral:rRNA from 1 species